GAUGAACGCUGGCGGCGUGCCUAAUACAUGCAAGUCGAGCGAACAGACGAGGAGCUUGCUCCUCUGACGUUAGCGGCGGACGGGUGAGUAACACGUGGAUAACCUACCUAUAAGACUGGGAUAACUUCGGGAAACCGGAGCUAAUACCGGAUAACAUGUUGAACCGCAUGGUUUAACAGUGAAAGACGGUCUUGCUGUCACUUAUAGAUGGAUCCGCGCCGCAUUAGCUAGUUGAUAAGGUAACGGCUUACCAAGGCAACGAUGCGUAGCCGACCUGAGAGGGUGAUCGGCCACACUGGAACUGAGACACGGUCCAGACUCCUACGGGAGGCAGCAGUAGGGAAUCUUCCGCAAUGGGCGAAAGCCUGACGGAGCAACGCCGCGUGAGUGAAGAAGGUCUUCGGAUCGUAAAACUCUGUUAUUAGGGAAGAACAAAUGUGUAAGUAACUAUGCACGUCUUGACGGUACCUAAUCAGAAAGCCACGGCUAACUACGUG
rnacentral:rRNA from 1 species